UAUGGGUAUUACAUUGGAGAUCAUAAAUAGAUGUUUAUUUUUAGCUCUCUAAGACUAGCACAUUUAUUUCACUUAGCCCCAGAUUCAUUGAACCUGGAGCAAAUUAUGACAAGUUAUUGUGAUGAAGAUGAGGUAACAGCUUCUGACUUGGAGAAGAUUUGUCUAGUGUCUUGAGUUUCCUGUCAGUAUGUCAGGACAUCUAAAGGAAGAAGAGGAGAGGAGGCGUGCAAAGUUCAGCCAUGAGUGUGCCUUCAGUUUCCCUCAUCAGACUGCACUCAAAGGCAUAAGAGAAAGGAAACAAGCGAAAGCGAAGGAAGCCAAACUUCAGGCUUUUGUUCCUUUCCCAGUCGAGAUAGAGCCUGCCAACCACCCAAGCACAUGACCUUAUGAGAGUCACUUAUUUGGAUGUUACCAAGGAGGCUGACCUGGCUGACUAGAAAGCCACAGACUUUCUGUCUGCCUCUCUAGUGCUGGAUGAGCAUAUGCCAUUACUCCUGACUUUUUAAUGUUGCUUCUAAGGCCAAGCUUGGCUCUUCAGACUUGUGUAAAGAUUGUGUUUCUUGGAGAGAGAGAAGCUGGCUCCUCCCACCAGAGAAAUGACUGCCCCAUUGCCGUGCCUUGUGAUCACUGACCUUUGGCGUACCCCAUGCAGCCUCUGAGCUGGGUGUAAUGCGAAGAGCAUCAUAAUGGAAUCCCAAUCCUGGGUAAUGGAGGAUCCUGAGUUCCAAGUCUCUCUCUGUGGGCUACAUGAGAUCUUGUCACAAACAGACAUCAAGAGUUGGUCAUGCAGACAUCAAAUGAAGACACCAAACCAGAUAUGCAGCGACAGUUGCUUUGCUUGGAGAUCACUGUUUAUUAAAUGUGUGCUUCUGAGAUCCCUGGCCUGUGACGGAAUCCUCUGAUAAGCACAAAAGGACAUCCUCAACCACCCAUUGAGACAAGUGAGAAGUUGGGGUCAAUUUCCUCCAGUAACCAACAGUGCUCCAGUGGAGUGAUGUUCAUUAAGGCCCAUGUGUAACUUUGCUGUGGGGUCUUACAAAAAAGCAGCUCAGCUUCCUGACCUUUGGAUCCACAAACCCUACAGAAUCAGUUCAAUGGUUCUUUCAAUGUGUACAGGAAAUGUCUUGGAACAGUGUUUAUCUCUCAAGAUUUUGUUGUACUUUUCUCUGCUUUUCCCACUGAAUAAUUGGUAAACUUCUGUCCAGGUAUAGAGCUCUCUUUCCUUACAUGUAAAUCUAAAUUUCAGUCUCACUAACUACUUAUGCUUUCUCCCUCUUUUCAAUAUUUCUGUGAAAGGGCUUUGGUUGGCUCCCUGAUAGCUUUGAAAAGUUGAAAGGUUACUGUGAGAUACAAAUUGUCAUCCUGCUUGUACAUUAACAAAUCAGACUGUCAUGGUUUCAUGGGUCCUGGCAAAAGACCCAAGAUUCUUAAGUCAGAGACAAAGGGCUAUUUAUUACAGUAAAGCAAGCGGUGUGACCUUCAUGGUGGCAUUUGUUCCCCUCGCCAACCUAUUCAUAGAGAGACCCAUGUAAAAGGGGCCAGGCAAUCUUGUUCACAUGAGAGAGUUUUAAUCAGAGCCAAGAAACCAAGAAUUAGACAGACUUGUAUCUUUUAGCAGGUGCUGCAGGGAAAUGAUGUGAAAUUUAUUACAGAGGAAGCCAUUAUCUUUACUAUGCUGACUACACAAGUCUAUCUUCUGCUCUAGAGAGAAGCGCUCUCUUCCAAGGCUGUUUGCUACACAAAGACCUUUGCAAAGAUCAUCUUCAGCAAAGGUAGUCACGGCCUCUGCCUGUGAGAUAUCUGAACAUGCAGGGAAACAAUCUGUAGAGAGUUACUCCAAAACAAGGUAGGAAAUGAUUUCUAUACUGUAGGUAUCAUAAGACACAAGGGACUUCAAAGAACAUAUAUGAAGCAAAUCUACAAUGUGUAUUAUAUGUGCGUUAACAUGUAUUUUAUUUGCUCAAGCAAAAUCAACUGUGCAGUUACUAAAGUGUCAGGUACAUUUCUUGCACAUCAUCAGGGCGGCAGAUAACUCUAAUGGAGCUCAGGAGCAGCUAGGUUUGUGGAAGGGCUGAUGACAAGGGUAGAAACAUCCAUUGCAAGAAGCAGAGGAAAUUCAGGGAACAGAUGCUGUCAAGAGAAAACAAAUCAAUACCUUACAAAGGUAUUAUUUUCCUCUGUAUUGAUUAACACAAAGAAAUGACAUCUUUCUGGGAAAUUUUUAAAUCCAAAAUUAUGAAGCUACAUUAAUUUUUCUAAAAUAUUAACCUGUUUUUAAAAUAUACAUUUAUUUGUUAUUUUAUGUAUUUUUUAUUUUAUGUAUAUGAAUGUUUGCCUGAAUGUUUGUUUGUGCACCAUGUGAAUGUCUGGGCCCACAGAGGAUAGAAACAGGUAUUGGGUUCCCUGGGACUUAUUAGAGUUACAGAGGGUUUUGAGCCACCAAGGAAUUGAAUCUAUGUCCUCUGGAAAAGCAACCAGUGCUCUUAACCACCCAAUGGAACUGCUAGUUCAGAACUGUAUCAAUCCUUUAAGAAACCAAGUUCAGGGGCUGGAUAACUCUUAACCACAGAUUUGUUGAGAUGUCCUCCCUCCUCCUCUUCCUCUUUCUUCUCCUGCACUUCUUCUUUCCUGUCUUCAUUCCUCCACCUUGUCCUCUUUCAAAUGGUUGCACAAUUUAAAUAAUUGAAGUUGCAUGCCUUUGUUUUCAGUGGAUAUUAGAACUGGGUCUAUAUUUGUUACUUUCUUAUCAGAACAGACCUUAAUUUAGGGAGUUUUUUAAAUCUAACAUAUAAAUACUCUGUAGUGUAGGAAAAUAUUUCACAAAUGCUGAAAACUGAAAGCUUUUCUCAGUUACACACAUACAGAGAAAGAGGGGGUAGGAGGAGGAGAGAAAGAGAGACGGGGAAGAGGAAGAGGGAGAGCGAUUUUGUAACCCUAGUCCCAGAAUUAUAUACACAAGACAAAAUUCAAUGUAUACACAUUGUCUUAAUUGCAAAGCGCUGAUCUAGUUUCCAAUUUGCUUUCUUCUUGGGAAUAAGCAUGAAAAGUUUUCUCCAUUGAUUUCAGUAGACCUAACAAAAAGGCCACUAAAUCAAAUUGUCUGACAUCUCUCACCCAGCAGAGAAUAAAUUAAUUUUUAUGCUUCAGAAAUCAUUAAAUGGUCAGACCAUGAAAUAAAAUGUUUUUUUCUUAUGUUGCCCUAUAUAAAUCAGAAAGUAACUCAGUUAAAACACAGAAAUAAAACCCUAGCAUUGAAAAGUAAAAGUAGGGUAACAUGAAUCAGUAAAACACACAAGGGAAAGAAAUGUAAAUAUGUAUAUAUAUGAAAAAGGAAAUUUACAAUUGUGACAUUAUAUACAAAACCUGUUAAUGCUGUACAGGUCAAGAAUUAAUGAGUGGAUGAACAAAUAAAUAAGCUACACUAUUUGGCUUUAUAAAAUUUUACAUGGAUAAGAGUGGUUGCCUAUUGAAAGCAUAAUUUCAUUUAUGUUGUUAUCAGAAAGAAAUAGCUUGCACUGGUGUAUUUCUGCAAGUUAACAUGAAUCCUUACAAAAUUAUGAGACAAAUCAAGAGUCAGUAGCAAAAGCACUAGCAAGAUGGUAAAUUAAAAAGUAGGUCUUUUCUUACACACACAUACACACACACACACACCAAACACACCCCAAACCACCAAGCAAACAAAAUAACCACCACCACAACAAAAAACAAUUUAGCCAGUGUGAAUGGAUGAAACUGGCUACAGGAGAGCCCUGGAGUCCAUUUAAAAAAAGCUACAAAAAUUUAGUAAUAAAAACAAUCCCAGGGAUAAUUGCAUGGAAGGAGGAGGAACAGCAAUUUCAUUUUACCCCAUGUCAUCCCAUCCACAGAGCAGCAGGACUCAGUGUGGAAAGCAAUGUGCUCAGCUGUGACUUCCCAGGCAGGAGAAAAGAGUAGCAGAGGGAUCCCAGGAACCUUUGUUGCUGAGGAUCCUUAUGGUGUUGCUGAUUCAGAACCUAGCUUUAAAGCUCACACCACUAUGUCCCCUAGAUCCAAAGAUGCUGAAAGCCUCCUCACAACUGUGCCAUUAUGCAGCCCCACUUCUGCAGAUAUGUCCACG